UGGGGAAUAUUGGACAAUGGGGGCAACCCUGAUCCAGCCAUGCCGCGUGAGUGAAGAAGGCCCUAGGGUUGUAAAGCUCUUUCAGGUGUGAGGAUGAUGACAGUAGCACCAGAAGAAGCCCCGGCUAACUUCGUGCCAGCAGCCGCGGUAAUACGAAGGGGGCUAGCGUUGUUCGGAAUUACUGGGCGUAAAGGGCGUGUAGGCGGAUGAUCAAGCUAGGGGUGAAAGCCCAGGGCCCAACCCUGGAACUGCCUUUAGAACUGAUUGUCUAGAAUCCGUAAGGGGAGUGUGGAAUUCCUAGUGUAGAGGUGAAAUUCGUAGAUAUUAGGAAGAACACCAGUGGCGAAGGCGGCACUCUGGUACGGUAUUGACGCUGAGGCGCGAAAGCGUGGGGAGCAAACAGG
rnacentral:rRNA from 1 species